AUUGAACGCUGGCGGCAGGCCUAACACAUGCAAGUCGAACGAGUGGCGGACGGGUGCGUACUGUCUGGGAAACUGCCUGAUGGAGGGGGAUAACUCCUGGAACCGGUGCCUAAUACCGCAUACCAUCGGAUGUGCCCAGUUGAGAUUAGCUAGUGGGUGGGGUAAAGGCUCACCUGGGCGACGGUCCCUGGCUGGUCUGAGAGGAUGACAAGCCACACUGGAACUGAGACACGGUCCAGACUCCUACGGGAGGCAGCAGUGGGGAAUAUUGCACAAUGGGCGCAAGCCGGAUGCAGCCAUGCCGCGUGUAUGAAGAAGGCCUUCGGGUUGUAAAGUACUGUCAGCGGGGAGGCGUUACCCGCAGAAGAAGCACCGGCUGACUCCGUGCGAGCAGCCGCGGUAAUAC
rnacentral:rRNA from 1 species